rnacentral:rRNA from 1 species
GCGUAGGCGGUCUUUCAAGUCAGGAGUGAAAGGCUACGGCUCAACCGUAGUAAGCUCUUGAAACUGGGAGACUUGAGUGCAGGAGAGGAGAGUGGAAUUCCUAGUGUAGCGGUGAAAUGCGUAGAUAUUAGGAGGAACACCAGUGGCGAAGGCGGCUCUCUGGACUGUAACUGACGCUGAGGCACGAAAGCGUGGGGAGCAAACAGGAUUAGAUACCCUGGUAGUCCACGCUGUAAACGAUGAGUACUAGGUGUCGGGGGUUACCCCCUUCG